GAUGUGUAUAUAUAAUAUACAUGAUUUUUUAAAUUAUUAUUAUUACUACUGAAACCAUUAUUUGCCAUUGCAGAGAUCCGUAUCAGUCCAGAACAGAAAAAUCUAUUGCAGCUGCCUUUUCAACUCCUGGGAAAAUUCUCAAUUUCUUUUGACAAAUAUUCAAAUUUUCUAUCAAUUCGAUCCUUUAUCUGAUGCCUGCUGAAAUCUCCUUUUGCUUUAUAAGUUUGUCUAUUCUACAAGUUAGCACCACCCAUCUCUGAUUAUGUUGUUUUAAUCUGCUUUUACCUAGAAGUAGCCAUGAAACGGCCCUAUGUAUUUCCCUACCCAAUUUUAAAUUUUUGGUUAUUAGUCAGUGCAGUUAUUGUCAAAUUAUUUUUUUUUUGUCUUCUGUGGGGCAAGUGCAAAGUGACAAUAAUUAGCAACCCAUACCUCAAGGCUGUUAAAGACUCCGUUAGUUUUACAGUGACAGGGUGAUCCAGUUGUCAUGAGACAACACAGAUGAUAAUGAUAUCUCCUUUAACCUGUUAAAGAGCAUAUUUUAAAUUUGGAGAAAAAAAAUGUAUUAACUGUUUCUCAUUACUACUGCCAAUACAAAUCUUACGUUUAAGACAAUGGUUAGCACAUUAAUCAUCCAGAAAGUAGAGGAAAUGUCCUAGCAGAGCUGACUAAGCUGAGGGAUUCUGGAGAAUGUUUGCACUAUGAGUUAGUCACCCUUUGACAGUCAUAGAGCUGGCUUGCACUUUGACUAUUCUUAGUAUGAAUACAUAAAGAUGACUAGCACUGCAUCAUGACUUGGAGUUAACAUGUAGUAUUUGUCAGAAAUGCAAUGUUCAACGGAAUUUAAGAAAUAUCAUAAGUGACUGCAUCUGUGUCUAACUAAUUUACCACUGAGAGGAAGUGAUUUAGCACACAGGACAGCAUCUAGGUAUGAAGAAAUAAUGAGUUUGUGAGCAGAGAGGAAGAAAUGUGUCUCAAAAUGGUCAUCAAAGAACAGAAAAUAAUGAAAUGAGCCAGAAAGAUCAUUCCAUUACAAACUGUCCUGCUAUCUAUCAUGACACUAGGUAAAAAUACGUCUGGUAGGAAGUAGGUGCAUAUAUGAACUGGAUCAUAUCUCAGCAGGGGACAGAGAGUUGAGAACAAAGAAUGAAGGGUGCACUUUGUGUUAAGUAUACAAAAGAUAUGAAAGAUAUAAAGCAGUUAGAUGAGGUGUUGAAGAGGACAGAGAUAUGAAAUACAUCUGGCUCUUUGUGCUACUAUACUUUUUGCCUAAUAGAAUAAAUAUUAUUAUGAUAACAAUUGGUGCCUGAAGGAAGGAACAGAAAAGCAGUAUAAGUAAUAUGGAAACCCCUAAAUUACUCAAUCUUCACACACAAAAACAAUUAAUCUUUUCAACAUUCAGAGAUGAAGUUCAAGUUCAGCUUCUAGUCUGCAAAGAAGCAGUGUACUUGGAUAAAUAGCAGAAUAUAUAAUGGUAAAAUACUCAACCAACUUGUAUGACAAUAAGAGGAGAAAAAAAAAGAAGGAAUAAAAGGAGUGAGCUGAUUGAGAGCAAUAGAUCAUAAGCUGUCAAAAAAUGGAAAUAUUCUUUCCUAUUUCACAUGCAAAUUGCCUGCAGAUUUGCUUCUGUUGCACUAAUUCACUUAAUUCUAACUUAGAUUAUUUGAGGAGAAAUGCUGUUUUAUCACCAGCAAGUACUGACUGCAUAAGGGAGCUUGUUCUUCACACUCCGUAGUACUGCACUGAGAGUAGUGGCCUGUGGGGAAUCCACGGUCUCAUUCUCACCUGAGAAUCUUUGCAGUUGCUGGCUUCACAGCAUUACUUGAGCAGACCUGAUUGACCUUCUGUUGAAAUAAUAAAAUGUAAGCAACAGAGUGUGUGGAUGCACAUACUCAAAUCCAGCUCACACACAACGAUUGCUCUGGUCAGGACGUACAACUGGUUAUAUAAAGAUAGGUAAAAGACAGAAAUUGUCUCAGGUUUCACUCCAUGUAAUUCAGUUACUUUUAUAUCAUGGUCAAGGUAGUUACUGGAGUGAAUUUGAUAAAAUCCACAAUGCAGUAAUGACAUUUUGAAUGUUUUUUUCCCCACUUACUCUGAAGGGUCAUGAAAUAAUUAUUUUCUCUGAGAAAUCAUCUUUUUAUCAAAAAUGUUACCAACUGUCUUUUUUGUAUAUGAGAAUAUAGUUAUUUAUAUUAGAAGGAGGGUGCUUCUACUCGAAGUGACAUAAAUAUCCCAUCUUUUUUUAAUAAAUAAUAAAAAAGGCAGAAUACAAACUGUCACAGGUGCUAAAAAGAUGAAGGUCUUCAGUUCUGUACAGCACAUUGUUGGGUUGCACUGAAC
rnacentral:lncRNA from 1 species